UUGGGUUACCUUACAACAAGACCUUUUGUUUCUCGCAUUAUCUCCCUUGUAAUUUUCUUGUAUCCCUCUCCCCAUUUUGGUGUAAUUUUGCUUCCAUUUCUUUUGUUAUUGCUUAUUAGCCAACCUUAGGAGCUAGGAUCGUCACCAUUUUUUCUUAAACAAAAAAUAAACCAUUGAUCCAACGUCAAAUGACAUUUUCUC
rnacentral:lncRNA from 1 species